AUGGCGUCGUGGGCGGACCUCCCGCCGGAGCUCCUAGACCUCGUUGUCGCCGGCCUACCUAACCCCGCCGACCGUGCCCGCUCCCGCGCCGUGUGCCGUUCAUGGCACUCCGCCGUGCGACGGCAUGGCCCCCAGGCAGCCCAGCUACCAUGGACGGUCUUCACUGAUGGCGAAGUCGUCACACCCAUCAACGGUCCCUCGGAACACUCCACCUUCAUCCCCAAGAAUUCACAUCUCUCCGGCUCCGCCGACGAGUGGCUACUCUUCGGCGUCUACCACCGGACCCCCAAACUCAUCAACAACUAUGUUCUACACAAUAUAUUCUCCGGAGAGCGUGUUUCUCUGACCGAGUUGGAUGCCACCCUCCACCGCGCUUACCGCGUCAGCAAGUUCCGGAUGCAGUCCACCGCCCACGACUUCAUGGCAGUCAUCACCACCAACAAGAACCAUCCGCUCAUCGUGAUCCUGCCAGGAAAGAGUGUGUGGCUGCCAGAACCACGGGCAGUUCCAUAUGUUUAUAUCGUUGACAUUGCCUUUUGUGGACACAAGCUCUAUGGCAUCAGCAAGGCGGAAGACCUCAUCCCCUUUGACCUAGGGCUAGAUGAAGAGGGAAGGCCCGUGGUCACCAUUGCAAGACGUGUAAUUCAACGACCACUUGAUUACGAUAGUUGGGAUGAUGAUUAUAGCGACAGUGAUGAUGAUGAUGGUGAUGGUGAUGACGACAACAGCGAAGAAGGCGAUGAUGAUGAAGGCGAUGAUGACGAGGAUGAGGAAGAGGUAGAUAUUGAUGUGGUUGCAAAUGAUGAGGACGAGGGCGAGCAGAAGAUGGAGGAGGAACAGGCCGCGGUAGACAAAGAAUACACUUGCUGGCACCUAGUCCAGUCACACGGGAAGCUGCUCAUGGUGAAGCCACACAUCCAUAUCUUUCCAGACUAUUCCUCAUCCAUUCGCCAGGUUGAUGUUUUCAUAGCCGAUGUUAAGACACGCAAAUGGGUGCCCAUGGCUAAUGGGCUCGGUGGCGACCGAGCACUAUUCAUCGGCCAACACUUGUCCAAGUUUGUUUCUGCACCUUGUGGAGAUAUCAAGGAGGAUGCCAUCUAUUUUCUCGAGUCGGGUGAGGUGUUCAAUAUGAAAACUCAGAGUGCUAACCCGGCGAGGUUUUACGAGCCUGACUACCUGGGAUCGAAUGUCAUGUGGCUCUUCCCCCCGGAGUUGGUGCUUUAA
rnacentral:rRNA from 1 species